rnacentral:piRNA from 2 species
UGUGUAGCACCCCUACCAGCCCAACUCAGGA